UCAUAUGCUUGUCUCAAAGAUUAAGCCAUGCAUGUCUAAGUACGUGCCUAAGAAAGGUGAAACCGCGAAUGGCUCAUUAAAUCAGUUAUGGUUCCUUAGAUCGUACCUUACUACUUGGAUAACUGUGGUAAUUCUAGAGCUAAUACAUGCAGCAGAGCUCCGACCUUCGGGGACGAGCGCUUUUAUUAGACCAAGACCAAUCGGACUUCGGUCCGAAGCUCAUGGUGACUCUGGAUAACUUUGGGCUGAUCGCACGGUCUCGUACCGGCGACGCAUCUUUCAAGUGUCUGCCUUAUCAACUUUCGAUGGUAGGUUAUGCGCCUACCAUGGUCGUAACGGGUAACGGGGAAUCAGGGUUCGAUUCCGGAGAGGGAGCCAGCAGCCGCGGUAAUUCCAGCUCCAAUAGCGUAUAUUAAAGUUGUUGCGGUUAAAAAGCUCGUAGUUGGAUCUCAGUUCCAGACGGGUGGUCCACCCCUGGUGGUUACUGCCUGGCCUGAACAAAUCCAGCCGGUUUUCCUUGAUGCUCUUCACCGAGUGUCUUGGGUGACCGGCACGUUUACUUUGAAAAAAUUAGAGUGCUCAAAGCAGGCGUGACGCCUGAAUAAUGGUGCAUGGAAUAAUGGAAUAGGACCUCGGUUCUAUUUUGUUGGUUUUCGGAACACGAGGUAAUGAUUAAGAGGGACAGACGGGGGCAUUCGUAUUGCGACGCUAGAGGUGAAAUUCUUGGACCGUCGCAAGACGAACUACU
rnacentral:rRNA from 1 species